rnacentral:rRNA from 1 species
AGCGGUAGGCACAGAGAAGCUUGCUCUCGGGUGACGAGCGGGCGGGACGGGUGAAGUAAUGUCUGGGAAACUGCCUGAUGGAGGGGGAUAACUACUGAAAACGGUAGCUAAUUCCGCAUAAUGUCGCAAGACCAAAGAGGGGGGGCCUUCGGGCCUCAUGCCAUCAGAAGUGCCCAGAUGGGGAUUAGCUAGUAGGUGGGGUAACGGCUCACCUAGGGCGACGAUCCCCUAGCUGGUCUGAGAGGGAUGACCACCCACACUGGAAACAAGAACACGGUCCAGACUCCUACGGGGAGGCAGCAAGGGGGGUAAUAUUUGCACAAUGGGGGCAAGCCUGAUGCAGCCAUGCCGCGUGUAUGAAGAAGGCCUUCGGGUUGUAAAGCACUUUCAGCGGGGAGGAAGGCGGUGAGGUUAAUAACCUCGUCGAUUGACGUUACCCGCAGAAGAAGCACCGGCUAACUCCGUGCCAGCAGCCGCGGUAAUACGGAGGGUGCAAGCGUUAAUCGGAAUUACUGGGCGUAAAGCGCACGCAGGCGGUCUGUCAAGUCGGAUGUGAAAUCCCCGGGCUCAACCUGGGAACUGCAUUCGAAACUGGCAGGCUAGAGUCUUGUAGAGGGGGGUAGAAUUCCAGGUGUAGCGGUGAAAUGCGUAGAGAUCUGGAGGAAUACCGGUGGCGAAGGCGGCCCCCUGGACAAAGACUGACGCUCAGGUGCGAAAGCGUGGGGAGCUAACAGGAUUAGAUACCCUGGUAGUCCACGCCGUAACCCCUCAUUUGGAGGUUGUGCCCUUGAGGCGUGGCUUCCGGAGCUAACGCGUUAAGUCGACCGCCCUGGAAUUCCCCCCG